UACGAAGGGUGCAAGCGUUGCUCGGAAUUAUUGGGCGUAAAGGGCAAGUAGGUGGUCAUAUAAGUCUGGGGUGAAAUCCCUGAGCUCAACUCAGGACGUGCCUUGGAAACUGUAUGACUAGAGUAUCGGAGAGGUUCGCGGAAUUCCAGGUGUAGCGGUGAAAUGCGUAGAUAUCUGGAGGAACACCGGUGGCGAAGGCGGCAUCCUGGACCGGCAUUGACGCUGAGGCGCGAAAGCCAGGGGAGCAAACGGG
rnacentral:rRNA from 1 species